rfam:Vigna radiata var. radiata cultivar VC1973A chromosome 11, whole genome shotgun sequence
AUGAAGCUUUGUUGGCAAGCAUCCAUCCAUGGUUCUUAAAGAAGAGCAUGGAGAAAAAGGAGUGUGAGAGGGUCCUUACCCUUCACACUCCUCCACUUUCAACAGUUUGCUUGUGCUUAGCUUUGGCUUCUCUAAUCAACAAGGGAUGUGUUUAAACAUUCUGUGAGUGGCAGAAGCAGAUAUGCAUUCUCCAAAGGAGGAGAGGCUAUGGCUACAGUCAGGCAAACCGGCAAGUCACAAAAAGGCAAUGGACUCCAUUGGGGUCUC